rnacentral:rRNA from 1 species
AUUGAACGCUGGCGGCAUGCUUUACACAUGCAAGUCGAACGGUAACAGGGAGCUUGCUCCGCUGACGAGUGGCGAACGGGUGAGUAAUGCAUCGGAACGUACCCAGUCGUGGGGGAUAACGUAGUGAAAGUUACGCUAAUACCGCAUACGUCCUGAGGGAGAAAGCGGGGGACCGAAAGGCCUCGCGCGAUUGGAGCGGCCGAUGUCGGAUUAGCUAGUUGGUAGGGUAAAGGCCUACCAAGGCGACGAUCCGUAGCGGGUCUGAGAGGAUGAUCCGCCACACUGGGACUGAGACACGGCCCAGACUCCUACGGGAGGCAGCAGUGGGGAAUUUUGGACAAUGGGCGGCAAGCCUGAUCCAGCCAUGCCGCGUGAGUGGAGAAGGCCU